rfam:Camelus ferus unplaced genomic scaffold scaffold1561, whole genome shotgun sequence.
GUGGGUUUAGCUCAGUGGUAGAGCACGUGUUUAACAUGCAUGAGGUCCUGGGUUCAGUCCCCAGUACCUCCA